AUUGAACGCUGGCGGCAGGCCUAACACAUGCAAGUCGAGCGGAUGAAGGGAGCUUGCUCCUGGAUUCAGCGGCGGACGGGUGAGUAAUGCCUAGGAAUCUGCCUGGUAGUGGGGGAUAACGUCCGGAAACGGGCGCUAAUACCGCAUACGUCCUGAGGGAGAAAGUGGGGAUCUUCGGACCUCACGCUAUCAGAUGAGCCUAGGUCGGAUUAGCUAGUUGGUGGGGUAAAGGCCUACCAAGGCGACGAUCCGUAACUGGUCUGAGAGGAUGAUCAGUCACACUGGAACUGAGACACGGUCCAGACUCCUACGGGAGGCAGCAGUGGGGAAUAUUGGACGAUGGGCGAAAGCCUGAUCCAGCCAUGCCGCGUGUGUGAAGAAGGUCUUCGGAUUGUAAAGCACUUUAAGUUGGGAGGAAGGGCAGUAAGUUAAUACCUUGCUGUUUUGACGUUACCAACAGAAUAAGCACCGGCUAACUUCGUG
rnacentral:rRNA from 1 species